GCUUCCUGGAUAGCUCAGUUGGUAGAACAUGAGACUCUUAAUCUCAGGGUUGUGGGUUCAAGCUCCAUGUUAAGCA